rnacentral:misc_RNA from 1 species
GUAGGUGAACCUGCGGAAGGAUCAUUACUCUUAGCUUACACUAGUACCUAGUACGAAAUGUAUUGCUAUUACUCUAAACACCAAACUGUGCUCUUUCUUUUUCACCCCAUUCUGAACUCAGUUCUAUCAUGGACUGCAUUCUAUUGUCACCUAUUCUUUUUCUACAACUGAUCUAAUUGUGCGUUGUUGCAGAUGCUGGUACUACUUGUAGCACCAUAUCUGUCUCCACUCACAUCUGUACUGUUCUGCAUCCACUUGAUUGUAUUAUAUCAAUUGUGUGUUGACUGUACUUGUUGAACCACCGAAUGUGACUGUAGUCUGUCUUACCAAAGGCAGUCUCCAGUUCAUUCACGUGAAAACAACUCCGAACAAUGGAUAUCUCGGCUCUC